UACGUAUGGUGCAAGCGUUAUCCGGAUUUACUGGGUGUAAAGGGAGCGCAGGCGGCACGGCAAGCCUGAUGUGAAAGCCCGCGGCCCAACCGCGGGACUGCAUUGGGAACUACCGGGCUGGAGUGCCGGAGAGGUAGGCGGAAUUCCUAGUGUAGCGGUGAAAUGCGUAGAUAUUAGGAGGAACACCAGUGGCGAAGGCAGCCUACUGGACGGUGACUGACGCUGAGGCUCGAAAGCGUGGGGAGCAAACAGG
rnacentral:rRNA from 1 species